rnacentral:rRNA from 1 species
GUUUGGUUAAGUUAGAAAGGGCGCACGGUGGAUGCCUUGACACUAGGAGUCGAUGAAGGACGGGACUAACGCCGAUAUGCUUCGGGGAGCUGUAAGUAAGCUUUGAUCCGAAGAUUUCCGAAUGGGGAAACCCACUAUACGUAAUGGUAUGGUAUCCUUACCUGAAUACAUAGGGUAUGGAAGACAGACCCAGGGAACUGAAACAUCUAAGUACCUGGAGGAAGAGAAAGCAAAUGCGAUUUCCUGAGUAGCGGCGAGCGAAACGGAACAUAGCCCAAACCAAGAGGCUUGCCUCUUGGGGUUGUAGGACAUUCUAUACGGAGUUACAAAGGAACGAGGUAGACGAAGCGACCUGGAAAGGUUCCGUCGUAGAGGGUAACAACCCCGUAGUCGAAACUUCGUUCUCUCUUGAAUGUAUCCUGAGUACGGCGGAACACGUGAAAUUCCGUCGGAAUCUGGAGGACCAUCUCCCAAGGCUAAAUACUCCCUAGUGAUCGAUAGUGAACCAGUACCGUGAGGGAAAGGUGAAAAGCACCCCGGAA